rnacentral:sRNA from 1 species
UCGUAGCGAUUGGUUUUGCCUUGAAAA